UUUUCAGAUAAUUACUUGUACUUAAUCUACAUAGCAAUUGGUAUUUUAGGCGUAGCUUUAUUGGUGAUACUACUGUUAUGUUGUUGCUACUGUAGAGGAAGGCCAGAUGAUGAUGCUUUGCAUAACCCUGGAGGCAGAGCUGCUCAAAACGAUUAUGCACACCACAAUCCUAUCUAUGACAAUCGCCAAUAAUCAAAGCUAGCGUAGUGCUGAUGCUCUGCAGAAAAAUGACGAUGAAACAUCUUCAAAGUGUUUAAUAUUUCACAUUCACUUUUUUAAAUCUGUUGAAAAAUAUAAUAAUUUGAAAAAUUUAGAUACUGAACCCACCAUGAAAGUGCUGGACAUGUAAAAUUGACCAAUUACAACAUUAGAGAUGUCCUACAAACAAGUUUUACGUACGUUUUUGCUGCUGUCUUGUGGGAUCUUAGCAACAAUAUCCAAUGGGGCGGGGCUUAGCGGAACGGUUCAUUAUAACUUUUUCAACAUGAAUAAUGCAAUUAUUAAUUAAUAAAAGAAAUUGGAUUGCACAAUAUUUUCAAAUAAAAAAAGCCAUUCCUAAAAUUUGGCUGAACAUAUUGAAAAGUGACAAACAUAAUGUAAAUGGUAAUGAGACACAUGCUGAACCCAGUAUUUAUAUAGAGGAAUCAAACAAAUACAUAAAUAUGGAAAAAAUUAGCACUAAAGAGUGUAGACAAUACUUAGUUUUAAAAAAAUCAAUAAAACCAAAAUGUGAAGCUAAAUGGAAUGAGAUAUUUACAGAUAAUAAUAUUGAUUGGGAGAAAGUAUGGACAAGACAAGUUAAAGAAAUAAAGACUCCAAAAAUAGCUGAAUUUAACUUCAAAUUAUUACAUAGAAUUUUACCAACUAAGAAAAGGUUAUAUCAAUGGAAAUUAGGUGAUUCACCAUUGUGUGUACAUUGUGCAACGAUUGCUGAUGAAAAACACAUGUUAAUGACGUGUAAAAGUCUAGGAAACUAUUGGAAUAAUGUUGCAUCUAUAUUCAAAAUUAAGAUUAAUAUUACUUUCAAAAAUGUUGUAUUAGGUAUAGCAAAACAAAACAACAUCACAAAUGAAUUAAUUGCAAAAGCAGCUUAUACAAUUUAUACAAACUGGUUAUACCCAGUAACAACAGAUCCAUGGGUCUUAUUUUGCAAAUGCAAUUCAAGUGUGAAAAGUCAAUAUGAUAUUGAAGCUAUAUACAUUCAGAUGAUAAACAUAGGCAAAGAUGGAUUGAUAUACGCACUCAAUAAACAAAAAACAAUGUACACCUUUUAUGGUUUUAUUGUAUUCAGAAGUCGACUGUGGUUCGAUGAACUGAUUGAUGAAUGAUUAUUGUUGUUAAUUCAUGAAAUAUUACUAUUGAUAUAUUCCAAUUUCAAUAUGGUAUAAUUAGUUUUUCAUAGCAUUCUGCACAUCUUGGAUUGUAAUAAUGAGCCAUAAAGAAAUAAGAGUACCAAUCCGAUCAUUGAUGAACUGUAAUCAUGUAUGUGUUUAUGUAAGUGUAUGCAUCUAUAUGCAUGUGCGCGUGUAUGUAUGUAUAUAUAUACGUAUAUUUAUAUAUAUAUAUAUAUAUAUAUAUAUAUAUAUGCAUUUGUGUAUGUAUGUAGGUGACAGUAUAUAUAUAUAUUAUGAAUUAUAUCACGGUACAUUGAAGAGAUGAACCGUCAGAUACGUUGAUUUGAAAGAAACAAAAAAUUAAGGGAAAAAAGUAAAAAAUAUUUAAGCAAGUUUGUAUUAAUAUUCAAAUUUUUUGAUUCGAAAUAUUAUAAUGAAAAUAAUGUUAAACUACGAAAUACAUUAUUAUUAUUCAAUGGCCUUUAUUACCAGUAUGUCAUUAUUUCAUGUGUAGAAAAAAAGAAAAAAAAAAUGUUAUUAAAUUAAGAAAAGAGAAAUGAAAUAAAAGUGGGUGCAACUCCCACAAAAGAGAGAGAGAAAAAAAACUUUUUCAACAUUAUAAGCACCACUGAUUAUGAUGUUAUUUUACUAUUAUUUACCUUUGUUACAGGAGCUUUAAUUUGAAGAAUUGCUUUAUGAUUUAUCAGACUUAAUUGAACGUUUUGUGAUAUAUGUUGUUUGUGUUAUUUUACUUUGUUUAAAUGACCAUACUGUUUUAUGCAGUCAAUAAAAGAAUUGAU